rnacentral:rRNA from 1 species
AUACGGAGGAUGCGAGCGUUAUCCGGAUUUAUUGGGUUUAAAGGGAGCGUAGGUGGGAUAUUAAGUCAGCUGUGAAAGUUUGGGGCUCAACCUUAAAAUUGCAGUUGAUACUGGUUUCCUUGAGUACGGUACAGGUGGGCGGAAUUCGUGGUGUAGCGGUGAAAUGCUUAGAUAUCACGAAGAACUCCGAUCGCGAAGGCAGCUCACCGGGCCGGAACUGACACUGAUGCUCGAAAGUGCGGGUAUCAAACAGGAUUAGAUACCCUGGUAGUCCGCACAGUAAACGAUGAAUACUCGCUGUUUGCGAUACACUGUAAGCGGCCAAGCGAAAGCGUUAAGUAUUCCACCUGGGGAGUACGCCGGCAACGGUGAAACUCAAAGGAAUUGGCGGG